UACCUGGUUGAUCCUGCCAGUAAUCAUAUGCUUGUCUCAAAGAUUAAGCCAUGCAUGUCUAAGUUCAUGCCGAAAUAAGGCGAAACCGCGAAUGGCUCAUUAAAUCAGUUAUGGUUCCUUAGAUCGUUUCUUCCUACUUGGAUAACUGUGGCAAUUCUAGAGCUAAUACAUGCAGUGAGCCUGAAGCCCUUUGGGCGACGGGUGCUUUUAUUAGACCAAGAUCGAUCGGGUUUCGGCCCGUAUUGUGUGGUGACUCUGGAUAACUUUGUGCUGAUCGCAUGGCCACGAGCCGGCGACGUUUCUUUCAAGUGUCUGCCUUAUCAACUUUCGAUGGUAGGUUACUUGCUUACCAUGGUUGUUACGGGUAACGGAGAAUCAGGGUUCGAUUCCGGAGAGGGAGCCUGAGAAACGGCUACCACAUCCAAGGAAGGCAGCAGGCGCGCAAAUUACCCACUCCCGGCACGGGGAGGUAGUGACGAAAAAUAACAAUACGGGACUCUUUUGAGGCCCCGUAAUUGAAAUGAGUACACUCUAAAUCCUUUAACGAGGAUCAAUUGGAGGGCAAGUCUGGUGCCAGCAGCCGCGGUAAUUCCAGCUCCAAUAGCGUAUACUAAAGCUGCUGCGGUUAAAAAGCUCUUAGUUGGAUCUCAGUUCCAGACGAGUAGUGCAUCUACCCGAUGCGACGGCUCGGACUGAACAUCAUGCCGGUCCUUUCUUGGUGCACUUCAUUGUGUGCCUCGAGAAGGCCGGUGCUUUUACUUUGAAAAAAUUAGAGUGCUCAACGCAGGCGAGUCGCCUGAAUAAACUUGCAUGGAAUAAUAGAACAAGACCUCGUUUCUGUUCUGUUGGUUUUUGGAAUACGAGGUAAUGAUUAAGAGGGACAGACGGGGGCAUUCGUAUUGCGGCGCUAGAGGUGAAAUUCUUGGACCGUCGCAAGACGAACUACUGCGAAAGCAUUUGCCAAGAAUGUUUUCUUUGAUCAAGAACGAAAGUCAGAGGUUCGAAGGCGAUCAGAUACCGCCCUAGUUCUGACCAUAAACGAUGCCAACCAGCGAUCCGCCUGAGUUACUCAAAUGACUCGGCGGGCAGCUUCCGGGAAACCAAAGUGUUUGGGUUCCGGGGGAAGUAUGGUUGCAAAGCUGAAACUUAAAGGAAUUGACGGAAGGGCACCACCAGGAGUGGAGCCUGCGGCUUAAUUUGACUCAACACGGGAAAACUUACCCGGCCCGGACACUGGGAGGAUUGACAGAUUGAGAGCUCUUUCUUGAUUCGGUGGAUGGUGGUGCAUGGCCGUUCUUAGUUGGUGGAGCGAUUUGUCUGGUUAAUUCCGAUAACGAACGAGACUCUAGCCUAUUAAAUAGGUGCGGGGUUCCCAGCACCUUACAACCUUCUUAGAGGGACAAGCGGCUCCUAGCCGCACGAAACAGAGCAAUAACAGGUCUGUGAUGCCCUUAGAUGUCCGGGGCCGCACGCGCGCUACACUGAAGGAAGCAGCGUGUCUUUAUCCCUGUCUGAAAAGACUGGGUAACCCGUGGAACUUCUUUCGUGAUUGGGAUAGGGGCUUGCAAUUGUUCCCCUUGAACGAGGAAUUCCCAGUAAGCGCGAGUCAUAAGCUCGCGUUGAUUACGUCCCUGCCCUUUGUACACACCGCCCGUCGCUACUACCGAUUGAAUGAUUUAGUGAGGUCUUCGGACCGAUGUCCGGCGCGGCCUUUCGGUUGCGCCGGUCUGUUGGAAAGAUGACCAAACUUGAUCAUUUAGAGGAAGUAAAAGUCGUAACAAGGUUUCCGUAGGUGAACCUGCGGAAGGAUCAUUA
rnacentral:rRNA from 1 species